rnacentral:rRNA from 1 species
GAUGAACGCUAGCGAUAGGCUUAACACAUGCAAGUCGAGGGACCGGCGCACGGGUGCGUAACGCGUAUGCAACUUGCCUCACAGAGGGGGAUAACCCGACGUAAGACUGACUAAUACCGCGUUCUGUGAGAUGGGCAGGCGUCCCAUUAGCUAGUUGGUGAGGUAACGGCUCCACAAGGCAACGAUGGGUAGGGGAACUGAGAGGUUGAACCCCCACACACGUACUGAGACACGUACCAGACUCCUACGGGAGGCAGGAGUGAGGAAUAUUGGUCAAUGGGCGAGAGCCUGAACCAGCCAAGUCGCGUGAAGGAUGACUGUCUAUGGAUUGUAAACUUCUUUUGUAGGUGAAUAUGUACCCUACGAAUAAGCAUCGGCUAACUCCGUGCCAGCCGCCGCGGUAAUUC